UGCCCAUGAAUCUGCCUACCCAAAUCAAUACACCCUUGACUCGAUGCCAAAACAAACAUGGUCGAAAAUGUAAUCCUAUUCAAAUGAACAACUUCAUCUCUCAACAUGAAGUUAUAAGCCUUAACAGCCUUAGUAACCAAACCGUAACCGGCAUACCCCGAAAUUAAAGAGUUCCAUGAGACCCCAUCUCUGCUUGGCAUGCGGUUGAAGAUUUCUUGCAUUUCUGAGAGAUGCCCAGAUUUUGAAUAAACGGAAAGGAUGGUAUUCCACGAAAAAUGAUUUGGAAUGGGCAUUUCAUCGAACAAGCGGCGUGCAUACGUUAGGUUGCCUAGUUUACCAUACGCGUUUAUGAGGUUAUUAUAUAGAAAAGGUUCUGGAUUCGUUACGUUCUUGAUUAUGUGGCAAUGAAGCCUCUUGGCCUGGGUCUGGUUUUGAUUUUCGCAGAAGAAUUUUAGCAAGGAGCAAUAGUAAUUUGAGGGGGUGGACAUUGUAUGUGUUUUGCACUGUUUGCACUACUAAUUUUGGCGGGA
rnacentral:misc_RNA from 1 species